GCGGAUAUGGCGGAACUGGCAGACGCACAAGACUUAGGAUCUUGCGCCGAGAGGCAUGCAGGUUCGACCCCUGUUAUCCGCACCA
rnacentral:tRNA from 1 species